CCCACGCUCACCUGGCUUGCUGCAAGUUCAGCGCUCAGCCCGGCUUCACCCAAAGCUUUUGCUCGAGUUUGCAAACUCCCCAAGCAAACCUGGUCCCAAUUUGGAGUUGGUUUGAACUCAAUUUGAGCUGAUUUAUAGUCUGGCAUUAAACAACAACAACAACAACAACUGUGCUUCAAAAUGGCAACUCUGACCAUAAUUUAUGUGAGGCCAGAUGGAACUCGGUGUUUUCCAUUAAGUUUCAGCUGGAUUUUGCAAUUUUAGUUUUUGGUUCAAAUAGAGAGUUAGAGCAAAACAUGGAGGAAGGGAUGGAAAGCAGCAAUUAAUUCACAUAAAGCUUAACAGGAGGAGGAAUAUCUGGAACCUUUUAAAGGAUUAAAAAUAAGUUGCAGUGGAUCAUUUGUUUGUGAGACAGAAGAGGCUUCAAAGAUCCUCGAGCGGAUCAAACAGGAGCGUUCAGAGGCUUCACAAACUGAUGGAGGCCACCGGGCAGGAAGCGUCUCGAAUGGCUUGCUCUUUUGUGCCCACAUCAAAGUGCCCCUGUGUGACUGGCAGCCUCCUUUCUGGCCGGUGGUCCGCCGGGGACUGGGUGGCAGCAGAAAGAAGAUUUGCCUCCUAGUUCACCCCGUGCAGUGUAUGUGCAGGUCAGAGGAGAUACUUGCACAGUGGUAUGGCUUACAGCAGGACCUUCCCCUUGUGUUGCUUGCCCUGCUUGCUCUCUUGUCCUCUACUCAUCCCUGCUUUUCCCUUCUUUUGGCUGGGCAAGAGGAAGCCAUGUGAAUGUGAAAAUCUGCAGUGUGACCUACAGCCCACGUUGUACUCGCCUUAUAGCUGGGGCUGCUAUGCCAAAAAGUUUAUUUAUGGGAUUUGUGGCCAACUGAAGGCAAUGGGAAGAACACCGCUGGCAGAACUGUCUUGUGGGUGAGGCCUUGGGCUGACGGAUCCUGGAAAACCUAAGUGAAGGGUUGGAGAAUGCAGCUACUUGUCAAAGCGGGGGCCUGAAUCCACUUGUGCUCCCCUUUUCUUUCUUCCUACCCUUACUCUGAAGCUGCAGGAGGAGAAGGGAGCCUUCUGCUACCUCAGUCCUACAAAUCUGGGCCCAGAGGAGUAAUAGCAAAGGUGUGCAGUAAAUAACUGCAGCCUCAGCACCCCAGCGGGCUGUGGCUCAGGACCAGGGCCCUAGGCUGGCCCAGAGACACCGCCUGCCUCGGCUGCCUGAGGUUCUGGCAGUCUGCAUGGCCCAAACUGGACGGGGUCAAACUGGUGCUCAAAGGCUGCUGAGGAAAAACUGGAGGCUGGAGGGAUCUGUGUGACCAGGGCCUGAUUCUGCAGCCAAGGACCAAGCCCAUUGAUCUGCAAAAGGCUGCAGGAGCUGCAGCCCACCUGCAUUAAUUCAAGGCAGAUACACCAGCAGCAGCCACGUGUGCCACGUGGCAGUGAGAACCUCCAGAGUUCAUGGCAGGGGAUGGCAGUUUAAUGAAGUUUACUGUGAAAUUAGCUAGGAAAACUCUACAUAAAGGGAGGAGAAAUACAGCCUGUACAGUGUGUGAGAUCAUUAUAUUACAGACACUUUCAAGGCCAUUUCAUAAGGAGGCACUGAAAAAAAAAGACCCUAUGAGAGACUAAAAAAAUCCUGCACCUCUUAACAUCCUGCACUUUUAACCAAAGGCUGAACUUGCACAGAGAGCAACGCUUUUCAUAUUUAAAUCCAAUCAGCACGAUGGCAGGCCAGGGAGAAAUAUAUCCAGGCUUUGGAGCCCAGCAAUGAAGGGGGGAGCACAUAAAAAUGGGGUCAGCUGGGAAAAGAAGCUAGCAGAAGCCCUGGUGUAGCCACCAGUUCACUUUUGGGUUUUAAGGAGCAGCCAGAUGUUGUUCUACCAACUCUCCUUCAGCUGAUCAGCAAGCCCUAAAGAGGAGGUGUCGUGGUGGGGUGGUCACCCAGGUAACUGUGCAAAAUCAGCAGCACUCUGCCCCUCAGAUAUAUGGUUUUAGGAACUGCUCAGGUGGCCAAAAAUGUCAUGCAUGGGAAGGAGAGGCUUGCUCCGCUUCUGGGGAACACACUUCUUGCUCCCACUCUGCGCACCCCAAGGCUCAAAGCUUCCUUCGAGGCUGGCUGCUGCCAGCUCACCAGGGCAUGCGGUCAAGGGGCAGGUAGGGAGCCCAUCUCCAAUGUGUCUCAAAAAUUUACCAUUCCUAACAAGGCUAAAAAGAUGGCAUCUUAAUUAGAUGUAAAAAUUACAUCAAGCUCAUUAACUAAUUACAAGGGAAAGUCCCUGCAGCAGAUGCCUGGAUUGCCUAAAGUACUGCUUACUCUGAACUACUAACUUUGAAAAAGGAUUCUGCUAUUAAAGCAUUAUUUAGUUCCAAAAGCACAACAAACUCAUCUAUUUUUUAUCAUGUCUGUCCCAUCUAAUCCCU